rnacentral:rRNA from 1 species
GAGGGAACGCGGGGAAGUGAAACAUCUCAGUACCCGCAGGAAGAGAAAACAACCGUGAUUCCGGGAGUAGUGGUGAGCGAAACCGGAUGAGGCCAAACCGUAUUGGUGUGAUACCCGGCAGGGGUUGCCAGUGCGGGGUUGUGGGAGUUCUCUUGAUCGGUCUGCCGGCCGGUCGGUGAGUCAGAAACCGUUGAUGUAGGCGAAGGACAUGCGAAAGGUCCGGCGUAGAGGGU